GAUGAACGCUGGCGGCGUGCCUAAUACAUGCAAGUCGAGCGAAUGGAUUAAGAGCUUGCUCUUAUGUAGUUAGCGGCGGACGGGUGAGUAACACGUGGGUAACCUGCCCAUAAGACUGGGAUAACUCCGGGAAAGCAGGGCUAAUACCGGAUAACAUUUUGAACCGCAUGGUUCGAACUUGAAAGGCGGCUUCGGCUGUCACUUAUGGAUGGACCCGCGUCGCAUUAGCUAGUUGGUGAGGUAACGGCUCACCAAGGCAACGAUGCGUAGCCGACCUGAGAGGGUGAUCGGCCACACUGGGACUGAGACACGGCCCAGACUCCUACGGGAGGCAGCAGUAGGGAAUCUUCCGCAAUGGACGAAAGUCUGACGGAGCAACGCCGCGUGAGUGAUGAAGGCUUUCGGGUCGUAAAACUCUGUUGUUAGGGAAGAACAAGUGCUAGUUGAAUAAGCUGGCACCUUGACGGUACCUAACCAGAAAGCCACGGCUAACUACGUGCCAGCCGCCGCAGUAA
rnacentral:rRNA from 1 species